rnacentral:RNase_P_RNA from 1 species
AGAGUGGAUCGGGUGGUCGCCGGUUCGUGCGAGCGGGCCGGAGGAAAGUCCGAGCUCCACAGGGCAGGAUGGUCGCUAACGGCGACCGGGGGCGACCCCAGGGAAAGUGCCACAGAAAAUAUACCGCCGCGCUGAAAAGCGAGGUAAGGG